GAGCUGAAAUCGAGCCACUGCACUCCAGCCUGGGCAACAGAGCAAGACUCCAUCUCAAACAAACAAAAAGCACUCCCCCCCCCCCAUAAAAGACCACACUGUCUCCAGAUGACCCAGUGCACCCCAGAUACAAAUCUAUCCAGGUCGGGGCAGUGGCUCACACCUGUAAUCCCAGCACUUUAAGAGGCCAAGGCAGCAAGACCAGCCUGGGAAACACAGUGAAACCCCGUCCCUUCUACAAACACAAACACUAGCCAUACAUCAGACUAUAGCACAUGUCUGUAGUCCCAGAUCCUUGGGAGGCUGAGGUAGAGGCUGCAGUGAGCUGUGACUGUGCCACUGCACUCCAGCCUGGGCAACAGGGCUAGAUAGACCCUGUCUCAAAAAUAAAUAAUAAAUAAAAAACACUGGCCCAACACGGUAAAAUUCAAUGAAGCAAGAAAACACGGCAACAACGAGAUGACCACUCAGGGCCGACAACCCAGCUGAGGCCAGCCGGGGACAUCCGCAGGGCGCAGAAGGAGCUCCCAUCUCCUGUGCAUGUCCUUGCCGGGUCACCAGCCUCUGCCCUCUGCCCUGCGAGUCUCAUCCCCGUACAGCGCGGGGGCCCCGCCUCAGCCCCACAUGGGGUCGACUGCACUUACAGUCAUAAUAUGUCACUAUGUGACUCAUUACUCCGUGUUAUUCUGAGGGUCAGUUGUUAGGACGGUAUUUACAGUCAUCAUAACUGACCCUGAACACACUGCAAGAUCAUUUCCUGGAAUUCUGAUCUCUGUGUCUGAUUACUUUUUCUUUCAUACGUGAGCUACUUAGGCUUAAUCAGAAAGGAAGUCAUGAAAAGCAGAGCCUCACUCCUCCUCCGCAGUGAAGAUGUCGAAGCAGCCGUGGGUGAGCACGUGGUCCAGAGUCUUCAGCAGCGGCAGGGACACCCUGAGGGGAGAAGGAGCUGUGAGACCCUGGACACCAGCAACAAGGACGCCCAUCCCCGACUGGCUGAGAGUCAGUAUGAUCCCAGUGGAAACCCUGGCACCACUGUGGAAACCAAAAAGCCCCCUUUAUAAUGUAUGUGGAAACGCAAAUCUUCAGGAAAAGAUAAAACAACUGUGGCAGGAAGGAACAAGGCUGGAGGCUGACACUGAACUUCGAAGACGAUGGUAAAGCGGAAGGGAUGGAAAGAGCACAGCCCUGGUGCAAAGCGAAGCAAACAUGUCAGGCACAGAAGGCUCCAAAGUAAACCCACAGUUUCUUACAAAGCUGCAACGGCAACACAGCGGAGAGGGAGCCCUCCCGGCAACUGAGGUGAGCACUGCUGGGCGUCAAGGUCCUGUGCCGACGCUAUACCACGUACAAAACCUCACUCAGGACACACCCCAGGUGUAAAUACACAACCCAAAACUAUAAAACUUCUAGGACAAAACAGAAAAUCUCGGUGACCACGGAUUAGGCAAGCUUGUCUCAGACACACCAGAAAAAUCUGUGCCUCAGAGGACAAGGGGAGAUGCUGGGGCAUGAGGAAAGUGUAAGCCCCCACUCGGUGCGUGAAGGGACAGGCAGGGAGAAAACAUCCUCAAGUCACAUGUGUGACGACGGAGGAUCAGACCACAACAGUCCAGGAAGGAGACCAGAAAAAAAUGAAGACACUUCUCCAAAGAGGAUAUAAAGCAGCAAGGCGCCAGAGAGAGCAACCUCAGACAGCAGCAGCAGGAAGGCAUGACACGUGGGCGCUCCGGAAACCCUCCAGCAGCUUUCCAAAGCUAGACAUUCGCCUCCGUGUGGGCCAGCCUGCGGCACCUCGGUAGUUACCCCACAGAAAAGGAGCCUGGGGAGGUUCCCUCUGGGUGACAGGAGCCUCAGGAGAGCUUUAGCACAGGCCAACGGACGCAGGAGAACUGGGCUCCGCAGCCCACGGCGAGGGAGGUCCUGCGGUGCACACCUCCCCACAGGCGUGCACACACUGACUGCCCGCAGCUCUCCCAGCAAUAGCCCCAAGGGAGAAACCACCAAAAUGCCCACAGACAGACGCACUGUGGUGCCUCCACCAAUGGACACGACUCGUCAGCAAGCAGGAAUGAGCGACCGGCACACGGCCCAGACGCCUCAGGGGGCCACAUGCUGAGGCUAUGGUGACGCAGGUCGACUCGAAGGGCCAGGAGGAAACCCUGGGCUGGAGCCCUCCAUCGUGAAUGGGGACGGUUUCAAGGGUGGACACCUGUCAAAAUCGAUUGAACUGCUCCCUUUACGUGCAGCUGAUUAUAGUCAUAACAAGAAAACAUGGCUGGGCCGAGUUCCUGUUUGCUGAGAGCGACAUCUGUGCUCUCAUGAGAGAGGCGGCCGAGGCCCCGCCUGAGGGGACACCAGGUCCACGUCCUCGUCCUCACACACGCCGGGAACAGCCCUUCCAGAGGAUGUUCCCAAUUCUGAGGUCAAGGCCCACAGGGUCUAUACUCUGCCUCCAAGUAAAGGCAGAAACUCCAGAAAGCAGCCAUGUUUCUCACUUGACAUUCCAUCCUUAGGAACGCAACGCUCUCACACGCUGGGUGACUGUGUCCGCAAGCGCGUCCCCAGGAGCACCGAGCCGGAGGAGCUCGCCACAACGCCUUCCUACACGCAGGGACCACCUUUUACUCAUAUUACCUUUACAUCCAGUGUACACAAAACAGUCAUUUCCCUGCCUAACGUGCAGACUGGAAGAGGAGGUGCAGGGGCUGAGGCUUGACCGCCCAGAGAACCAUGUGCUGCAGGCACAUCCUCCUCGCUGAGCCACCAAUGGGUAAAGCAUGUGUCUCGCUUCUCCCUUCAGACCCCAGACAGACCCUGCAAGACCCCGGGAUCUAGGGAACGUGGUGAGAGGCACCAGCACCACUCACACCUCUGAGGCCGCCAGAGACACCACUCACCUGUCAUUCAGAAGGUUGUCCUCGAAGAUCUGCAGAAGGGUCCUGCUGAAGCUGCCUAGGGCCUGCGGGUCACUCUGAAUGCCCUUCAUGUACUCAAAGAGGCUCUGGGUGGAGUGCCGGACCUGCAACACGGAGAUGCCUCAGAAGGGAGCGGGACCCCCCAGCCUGCCACCCCUCAGGCUUGGCUGCAGCCGGCCAAGCAUCUGCUAAAGCGGAGAACUGCUCUGAGCUGCGGAGAUGUGAGGGUCUGGCCCACAGCGGCUGGGGUGGACGCCGGCACGGAGGCACCCACGGCGCAGACACCCAAAGCAGACACACAGCUCUCGGCAGCGGCAGCGCAGCCUAAGGCCUCUGCAGCCACUCACAUUGGGUUUCGCUCACGUUUCCCACUGAAGCAGGAUUUGAUAAUCCCCGCAACUCCCCUGUGUGCAGAAUGUCUCGGGGCCCGGCUCGCAGGGCCUGGGUCUCCCCGCACGUGUCCGCAUGGUGCAGAGGGCACCUCAUGUCCUGUUACGUGUUUUCUAGGAUGCAGCAGCUAUCACAGGGUUGCCACACGAAGCAAGUCAUGACCCAAGGUGCAGGGGCCACGAGUGACCAGAUGCAGAGAGGCCCUUCCAGUUCCCCAGCUCAGCCGUGACUGAGGCUCUGGAGACCCUCCCCACAGAAUGGGAAGCUGCGCCUGGAGCCCUGGAAGUGGAGGGCGGAGCCCAGGUAUCCACAUGCAGGCAUCAGACACAGGUCCUGGAGGGCUGAACCCCGAGGGGACGCUUGGGGCUCCAGGGCUGCGGCUGCGGGAGGAGGGCGGAGCCGGCCCACUUCAAAGUCUGCUGCUGACCCCCACUCAAUGUGCUGUUCCACCUUUAUCAGACUCGACCAUCCCAUAGGCCCUGAGCCUCCUGGGUCAUGAGGAAGCCGCUGGGCCCCUGACCCCCUAACCAAAUAUGCCAGAGAGAGAGAGAGAGCACUGGAAGAAAAGGCCCAGCUCCACACACACUCCCAAGAAGCAAGCAAGCGCCAAGUGCCCCUGGAGCCACCACCUCCCACCCCCGCCAGCCCGAUGCCUCCUCACCGUCGACUCCGUCAAGCCACCCAGGGACACGACAAGCCCCAGUAGGACGGGGUAGCGGUAGGUGAGCAGCCCAAGGAGCUGGGUGAUGCGUGGGAAGGCCUGGGAAGGUGCAUUCCAAUUCACGGAGGCCACGUCGCACCUGCAAGAGAGAGUGGGAGGAGGCCGGGCAGCCCAUGAUCUUGCCACGGCUGCGGGGCCAGUGUGGGCGGCCUACACCCCGACAGUUCCUGGGAGCCAGCGCGUGGGGCGUACGCCCUGACAGUACCUGGGAAACAGCUUUUCCAAUUCUCCUCGGUGGGGCACGUGGGGGAUGGGAGGGCUGUCAAAGUGCAGGAGCGUCAGGAACACGCUGAUGGCGUGAGCACGGAAACGGUCAAUUUUCUCACUGGCCUGCUGGGCCACACAGCACAUGACGCGCUCACAGCUGCAAACCAAGAGCAGGAGGUAAACCGAGGGCGGGCGGUCAACCAAGCGCGGGCAGUAAACCAAGGGCGGGCAGUAAACCAAGGGCGGCCGGUCAACCGAGCGCGGGCGGUCAACCGAGCGCAGGCAGUCUGAGCCAUGAGUCCAGCCCAAGCACCACGAGGACACAUGGGCUCCUCAGGACUUGGUGGCUGAGUUGGCAGCUGACACCAGGACACCGGCUUGGAAGGACCACACCCCGUUACCUUCACAUCCCAGAAGCCCGACCCUAUAGGUGCACAGCAAAUACACACUACGUACAUGUGACACACAUGCCAAUGAGUUCUUAGGGUUGAAGCAGGGACAACAAAUAUGAUUACAGAAGCAGGUAGAGAGGAGUGUGGGGGACAGAGAGGCCAGGGAUGGGGACAGAGAAGCUGGGGCUGGCGAAGAGAUCGGGGGAGGGAAGGAGAAAGAGGUGAGAACGAAGGAAAUCAGGCUCCGGGAUCCCCACAACCGAGUGCCCCUGACAGAGACCCACAAGGGCAGGGCCUGGGACCCCCAUGACUCAGUUCCCCUGACAGAGAGACCGACAGCAAGUGCAGGGCCUGGGGGUCCCCACAACCCAGUACCCCCGACAGAGACCCACAGCAAGGGCAGGCUCCAAUGGCAGCCUCAGGUGCAGGGAACUGAGUGAUGGCUCAGCUGGUCCUGGCAGGAUCAGACCCCCAGGUUCAGGGUCCUAAGCUGAGCAGUCCCCACCUCCAGCCCAGCCCUAACCUGGGAUGCUGGUUGUCAUCAAACUGGCCAGAGCACUGGGGGAGGCCCAGGCUGGGGAGCAGAGCCUUGUCCUGGGGGCACUGGGCAGAGAAGGAGGGGCCCCAGCUCAAGCCAUGGCUACAGGGGCAGGAGGAGGGGCCUGCACAAACCUGAGGUCACAGACCAGAGAGACUCUCUGGGAGGAAGAUGUGUGCCCAGCAAUGCACAUGCCACUGAGCACCAGGACUGCCCGCCCCACCAGCCUCCCCAAGCUUGGGGAUGCCCUCUAGGAUGCAGAAGAGCUGCGACGUGACACUCACAUGUGGGCCUCGAUCAGCUCAGGCUGGCUCCGAGCCAGCAGAAGUGUCACAUCCAUCAGACCGGUCAUGGCGGCCUUGCGGACCCUGAUGGGACAAGGAGAGGCAGAGACACCCAGCUUGAGAGGGAGUUCCCAACCCCGGUUCUACAACCACGCUGGCAGGCUGUGCCAAUUCAACACCAGUGACUAACCCCACACAGAGCCCAGGCACACUGCCAGGGAGAAAAGUCACAGGGUCUGCAGAGGUUCCCUGCGUGCUACAGGAACGUGUGCAGGGAAGGGAGACCCACAGCCGCAUAUACGGGGGCCCCGAGGCAUCCUGCACACACAGGAGUUUCAGGGAUUAUCACUCCCACUUCAGCGAGAAAUGCUGGCAAAACCCAAUGUAAGCAGCCGCCAGCCUUUCACUGAAGACGCGUCCUCCCUCACACCCAGUCAAUGAGGAUGACGCAGGCCCAACACCUGAGGACAGGCUGGACAAGGACCUGCAAAGCCCCGCUACGCAGGCUCACCCGGGAGCAGAGAACAGGUCGUCUUCCCAAGAGCCUUUAAAACGCAAAAUACGGCACUCUACGAAGAUUUCUCCCUGCAGAAAAGCCCAGGACCUCCGAGUUUCCAUGGAACAGACGGGCUUCUCCGAGGAAGUGCUCCCCACCUGCUGCGUACGUACCAGCCGCCCACGUCCCCCCCCUGCUGCGCACUUACCAGCCGCCCACGUCCCCCGGCUGCGCACUUACCAGCCGCCCACGUCCCCUCCUGCUGCGCAC